CCUCCAGGCAUGCGCGGGGCCGGGCGGAGGAGAGCACGUGAUGAGGCCACAUGGCUCAGAGUCACGUGCCGGCGAGUUGCCCCGCUCCCCCCUCCCCGCGCAGUGCCCGCCGGGAGCGCGUUCCCAUGGCAACGGCGGGGCCUACGACUCACCCAGGAGGCGGCUACGCACACAGCAGGACUCGUUCUUCACCUGCUCAUUCCCUGGCCAAGCGAUACCACAGGAGAAGACUCUAAAUCAGGAUCGCAAGCUCACAAAGGCUUUUCCUUUACCCCUCUGCAUGCUGCCAGUCUGCCAGAGCCAGGACAGCGUCUGCCACACGCAGAUGGUGCCACAGCAAAGUCUGCUCUGUUAGACACCACCCCGGCGAGACUCUUCCAGACACGCUGGCAAAACGUCUGCACGGAGCUGCCGUCAGGCCCGAGACGCCCCCGGCGACUCCCCCGCGAAGCCCAAAGCUCGCUGCGGAGCGCCAAAAAGGCACAGACAGACACAGGGUGUGUGCUUGAGAGCUGAAUGUGGCACACGGGGAGCCCGCUUUCCAACAGCCAUCCCAUCCGGGGAGGGAGAGGUUUCUCUCGUGCUAAAUAAGGACCUGGAUUUGCUCCUGUGCAUCUCUGCCACUUGGAUUUGCAACAUGUUAUCUUGAAUAGCCAUUGUCCUCCUUCUUCUAUAUCCCACCUCAAUACUGAUCACAGGGGAGCCUGUUUUGCUGCCACCCACACCAGACGACAGUUUAAUCUCUGGAGUUUCCUUCAGCGUCAAAGUAGCCGUUUUUCCCCAAAAAGGACGUGUGUUCCUUCCCUCUGCGCAGCCCGGGCCCCUCAGGACCCCAAUCCAACCCUGGAACAGCCCCAAGAGGAGCUGCUGCUGGUCCAAACCCAGACCGGGUAGUUUAUUUUCACUUCAUAUUUAUUUUUCCACAAAGACUGUACAAAAUUCUUAUAAAACUCUGGUGUGGGGAUGGGCUAUGACAUUGAUCCAAAAAAUAAUUCCCAUGCAGUCCCACCAGUUUCAUAACUUAUAAGGAAACAGAUGAGCUACAGAAGAGCUGCGAGUCCUGGAGUAUUUACACCAAGGGGGGGAGAACAGGAGACAGAGCAACACGUGAACAAAGGUAUUUACAAUAUGGACACACAGGCCCCCUCGCCUCACGGUAACGGCAGCAGGAGGUCGGGCCUGCGGUGCUCAGAGGCCGAUAUAGAAUAUGGGUUAUUUACAGUAUCUCACAUAUUAACAGCUUUACAAAUGUGUCCAGGGAGGAGUUCUCAUGUAUAUAUAUUAAAAAACAAAAGCACCAAGUGUCUGAAAUCACACAGGCCUCCACGGGGGCUAAAAUCUGCGGGCAGGUGGGCACCUGUGGCGUCACCGGCUGAUGUCCCGGCUAGAGUCCCACAUUUUUGUGCUCGGCUCCAUCUCCAGCAUGUCGAAGAAGGGAUGCUUGAGGGCUUCGGUCAGGGUGAUGCGCUUGGACGGCUCGUACUCCAGCAUGCUCUCGAUGAGGUCGAAAAGGCGGUGGUGGUCCUCGGCCUCAGAGUUCAGGUAGCGCUGGGGAGAGGGAGGGGACAAGUUCAGCCAGGGACACCGCGCCCUGUCCCGUCAGUCCCUUCCCUGGCUGAACCGGUGUGUUCCAACCAUCGCUAAUCCUACACCUGAACCCUGGGCUGCUUUACAAAGCGUGGAACUACUGAGUUUUCACCCCCACACCACAUUUCCCACGCACUUCCUGAGGUCUGCAUGCCCUCCUCCUCCUCAGAUUAAGCUCAGCUUAAUCCUAGUUUAUGCCUGGGCCCCAAGGCUCCGUGGGGAAGACGCUGGUCCUACACUUCUGGUGGCCCAACCUUGCCCAGAGCAAGAAUCUUCACAACCGAGACAGGUGCUGUAAGCCUCUGCAAUGAGAUUAAACAACCAGGUGUUCUGCCUGUCCCCUUACCCGCAGCGGCUUGCAGUUCUCCCUGACGUAGCGGCCAGCAGAAGUGUUCUCAUCCCAGUCCAGGCGCCCGUGGUAGAAAUAUUUCUGUUUCCUGCCGGAGCAAGAGGUGGGAACGCGUCACGUUCGAGCACAAAAGGUCUCAUAGCAAUGACCCCUCGGGGAAAACCGCUACGCGUGAAGCAGGAAAGAGCUGGCGAGCCCACGGUGCUCAGCCGGCCGCGCUCACCUCGUCUUGCGGAUCAUCCGAGAAGGAAUUGGCCCCAAGAUCCUCUCCAUCAUGGCCAGGUGCUCCCGGUUGUCGUGCGUCUGAGAGAGAGAAACGUAAAGGGAAGGCACGGAACAGAUUGCAGUUGUUCUACCUCCAGCCCGUUCUACCUCAGGACCCCUCGCUGGGCAACACCUCGGUCGUCUCUACAAGACUGCGGUGCUGGGGGGAAGCCCAUCAGUCCCAGAGGCUCCUGGCUGUGCUGGGGAACAGCCAGCAUCCUCUUUCAGCACUUGGGAGGUAGCCACGCAGCACACAGUUCUCACCUGAAACAGGGUGAAACCCACAUAAUACUCAAAGAUGAUGCAGCCGAUGCUCCACACAUCACAGGGCUGGCUCCAGCCAAGCUCUAAAAGAAAAUGGGUUUUAAAUAAAGGAUCCAGUUACGGCCUAAGCUUCCAAAUCCCUCUCCAUUUUCAAAACUAACUGGAAAAACAAUUCCCAUUCCAGACAGGCUCCUGAUAAGUUGGUGGCAAUAUACUGCCCAGCUGAUAGCAGUGCCAAAACACCAACUCGGACGUUGUUGACCCUCCCAGAAAAUAGUAGAUCACGUUAAACACAGCACUUAUCUCCCAGGGUAAACCCAGGACAGCCACUGAAUGACGCAGAAGCAAAAUGCUCCUUAAUCCAGCGGGCAGCUCUGCAGAAAGAGCGAGCGGUACCUACCCAGGAUGACUUCUGGGGCCCGGUAGUGCCUGGUCGAGACGAUGGUGCUGUGAUGCUCGUGAUCGAACGUGGCGCUGCCGAAGUCCACCACUCGGAUGGCCGUGCUCUUCACGCUCCGCUCGUCCCGCUUCUUCGCGAGGGAGAACGGUCGUAUCAGUUAAUUAACGCGAAAUUAGCCCCUUCAUUACGCGGCUGAGGCUUUGGGAAAGCUUCGGAGGGGACGUUAGCACUGGCACAGCCCCCAGGCAAGUGUUCACCAGCAGGCAGGUAAGCCUUACUUAAAGAUUUUAAGUCUUACUUAUAGACUGCACAGGCUGUUUGCUCAGGACACAGGCCCUGAACGUUUUUGUCACCCCCGUGUCCCCCGAGGCCACAUUCCAACCCCUCCCGCCUGCUGGUAAGGUCAGUGAUAUCAAGAACCCAAGAGCAAAGCUCUACGAUGGGGCAGAGCCGUUACCUUCUCCAGGUUGUAGGAGAGUUCGUAGUCAGAGUUCACAAAGAGGAUGUUCUCCGGCUUGAGGUCAGUGUGAGUGAGUUUAUUGUCGUGGAGAACUGAGGAAGCAAACGAGUGGGGGUGACGGAACAGGAGGAGAUGGAGGCCGCACCCACCCACCAUUAAUUCAGUUUGCUCCUAUUAGCACCAGUUUAGCGCACAUUUAGAACUGGGGGUGAAUAAUCAGGCUGGUCCAGGCCAAGAUGCUUUGGCAGAAGCACAAAGACUUAUCGUAUCGAUCACCACAAGACGUGUGCGGAGGUGAAGGCUGAAGCGCCCUGAGCUCCUGCCAGCCCACAAGCAUCGGAAAACUUUACAAUCAGGAGAAAAAGGAUUCAUUCCAAGUGCGCAUUCACGGCUGGGGGGGCAGGAAGGCUCAGCCCCAGGACUGGCGCAGCAAACACUCAUUGUUUAGGCCACCAGUUGCAGAACUGGCAUGGAUACUGGGAGCUUCCCAGCUCUCCAGGUCAAGGACCAGCGAAGAGCAGCGAACACUUAUAUUUCACAGCCUGGCACUUACAUUUCACGGCCUGGCACACCUGGAAGGCCAUGUGCCGCACUUGGUGGAUGGGGUAAGGCAGAUAGUUGUUGUCCUUCAGGAAAUCGAAGGUGCUGAGCCCCAGCAGUUCGAAGGAGAUGCACAUGUGGCCGUGGUAGUCAAACCAGUCAAACAUCCUGACGCAGAGACUGCGAGGAAGAUUAUUACUCAGGAUAGAUCUGCAUCUGUGUUACCCUUUGCUCACUCUCUAUGCCAUAGCAAGCUGAUAUACCGCCAAAAAUCUACCUACAGAUUAACUCGGUCACACAAAAUCAAGUGCCUUCUCCCACCCCGUCCCUGCAACAGUGAUGCUGCCCUUCCGCUCUGACACCGAGACCACUCACUUCGUGUUCUCAGGAUCCUUCUCGUUGAUUUUCUCCAGCACAUUAAUUUCCAGCCGAGCAGCCUCUUUGUAUUUCUCCACGUUUUUAAUGAUUUUGAGAGCGACACGUGCACCGCCCCUGGGCAGAAACGGGAGGGAAGCGCAAGAUCAACCCCUGAGCUGCGCCAAGAAUCAAAAAGGCCUUUCCAAACCAGGCUCAUCCCACGAAUUGCGCGGCACAGCCUUCCGCCACCUCUUCUCAAGCCAGAAGGCGGCUGUUACUACAGGAUAUCUCCCAAAACAGCGCCUUUUCCCUCCCUACAAACAGCCCUGAGGUUCCCCCAAACCCUCUCCAACAUCUGGGUGACCAAGGGGUGAAUCCCCAGACCAGCAGAGAAACCAAGAGACUCAUUUUCACCCCCAGGCUGCCACAUGAAGCCAAAAAGCUCCAUCGCCACCCGUGGUCUCUCUUGAUAAAGCCCCAAAAGCUCCAUCGCCACCCGUGGUCUCUCUUGAUAAAGCCCCAAAAGCUCCAUCGCCACCCGUGGUCUCUCUUGAUAAAGCCCCAAAAGCUCCAUCGCCACCCGUGGUCUCUCUUGAUAAAGCCCCAAAAGCUCCAUCGCCACCCGUGGUCUCUCUUGAUAAAGCCCCAAAAGCUCCAUCGCCACCCGUGGUCUCUCUUGAUAAAGCCCCAAAAGCUCCAUCGCCACCCGUGGUCUCUUUUCUCCCCGCUCCCCGUCCCAGGGGCGGACGUACCUCCGGUGAUCGAUGCACUGCACCACUCUGCCGAACGUGCCUUCCCCUAAAGUGCUAAUAAUCUCAUCUGGGAGGGAGAGAAAAAGAGGAAGACAGAUGAGGGAGUGAGCAGGACCUGGCUGCAGCGCAUACACAAGGCAGAGGAGAAUGCAUUGCAACCUAAACCUGCACACAGCUCGAGAGACCGGAGCAGCGGAAGGCUGACACCGGCUGCGCAAGGCAACUGCCCUAAUUCCCUGACAACUUCAGGAACAGUACAAAAAUAUAAACGUAGCUUUAACAAAAAGGGGGGGAGGAGAAGGAGAGGGUUUCUCUUUAAUAAACAGUGAAAAUAAAACGAAACAGAAAGAUAAGACAGAUCUGCGACUGCGAUGGGAGCUUAACUAGAGAGCUAAAUUAUGUUACGAUUUGGCUGUACAUCUUUCUUGUAGCCAGUCGCCGAUGCGAUAGAUCAGAUGCCCCUCGUCGUCGUCCUCCACACUCUUGGCCCUUCUGCUGCUCUGUCGACUCCGCUGCUGGCCCAGGCAGACAGGGAAUUCAGCAUUCAGCAAUCAGAGUUUCAAACCAGCGCAGCAGCCAGCGUCACGCAUUGGGUGGUUUGCAAAUUCACAUGGUUGUUUGAGGAGGGGUUGCAGGAGGAGAUUCCCAGCCAAUUCAUACGGCACAGAGGAAUAUAUAACGAUAGGGAUAUUGCAAGGGAACAUGUCAAGAUACAACACACUAGCUCAGAAAAGAAAAAAACAGUUUGCUUUUCGUUGUAGGCAAAAAAAGAAAAAAAUAAAAGGAAAAUAAAAGAAAAAAAAUAAAAGAAAAAAUAAAAGAACCUACAAACAGCCC